rnacentral:hammerhead_ribozyme from 1 species
GUCCAGAUGACGAGUCCCAAAAUCGGACGAAAUGCAUAUGCUGGAU